AUUGGACGCUGGCGGCAUGCUUUACACAUGCAAGUCGAACGGCAGCACGGGGGCAACCCUGGUGGCGAGUGGCGAACGGGUGAGUAACACAUCGGAACGUGUCCAGUUGUGGGGGAUAACCCAUCGAAAGGUGGGCUAAUACCGCAUGAGCUGGCAACAGGAACGCGGGGGACCCGCAAGGGCCUUGUGCGAUUGGAGCGGCCGAUGUCCGAUUAGCUAGUUGGUGGGGAAAGGCCUACCAAGGCUUCGAUCGGUAGCUGGUCUGAGAGGAUGAUCAGCCACACUGGGACUGAGACACGGCCCAGACUCCUACGGGAGGCAGCAGUGGGGAAUUUUGGACAAGUGGGGGCAACCCUGAUCCAGCCAUGCCGCGUGAGUGAAGAAGG
rnacentral:rRNA from 1 species